rnacentral:lncRNA from 1 species
UUUCUUAAAGAAGAAGACAAAAGAAAAAGACCCAAAAAUCAAAGUCAAUCAAAGGUAUGUAAUAUAUAUACAUACGAUCCAAAAAAAAACCCUAAAUCUCGUUGUCUAACAAGCUAAAAUGAAACAGGAAAGUGUUGUUCCUUUCUUUUUAAUUACUCUUUUUGCAAUUGUCUUCAUUCUUUCUAGGAUGACAAUUGUCCAAGCACAAAUACGAUCACCACCAUUUCUUUGGGCCAGUUGUAAUUGGGAUGAAAUGGCAAUUUACGAGAAGGAAAAAAAGGUAAUUUUUUAUUAAUAUUUGUAAAAGCUGUAAUUUGUUGAAUUUAUCAUGACACCGAUUUUGGUUAUUGUAUUUUAAUUUUAAUUCGACCGGUUAGUGGCACCAAUGAACCACACCAAGUGAAGGGGGCGGCUAGGGACAAAAGGAUAAGCUCACAAUAGGUCAUAUCCAUUACGGGUGUUUGAUUUGGUGUAUACAUCUUGUAUUUCAUAAGUCAUGUUCAUUAUGGAUGUUUGAUUAUUAAUCAUGUACAAUGAUAAAUUGUAAGGAAUAAAUGUUGUUAUAAUGGAUGAAUAUAUAUUAUUAUUAUCGGUAAAAUAUGUAACUAUGUUGUUAUAACUGAAUAAAAAAUAUAAUAAUGUUGCUAUUAUAAAUAAGAAUAUCGUUUAGACCUCUUCGUAUUGAAGAGACAAUAUGUAUCUUAGGGGCUCUUUGGCAGGAUCUGAAUUUUUAAGAUCUGAAUUUUUAAAAUGUUGUUUGGUUGGAACCUCUGAAUUGUUGUGUUGAAUUAUCAAAAUGACCUUUAUAC